rnacentral:sRNA from 1 species
AUCGAGUUUGUUUUCAUGCAUGUUCUAUUAACAAGUAUGUAGAUCUUGGAAAAAGAAAAUAUUUUGAUCUUGAUAAAAUUCUUUUUCAAAUCUCGAUUAGUUUAUUGUUUUUCCGAAUUUUGCAUUUAUACUAUUUAUGUGAUGUUCGUUUGUUAGUCGUUGGCGACCGCGACCAAAUGUUGUUCGUAUGGAAGUCGCUGGAUAUAGCGACCUGCGAUUAUAAUUUUUGGUCGCUAUUUAUCUUUACGACUGAUUAUAAAACGCGAUGUCUGAAUUCAGUAAACUCGGCGACGGUAUUGUUUUACAUUCUUUUACAUUUUAAAACUCUAUUAUUUACAUUCUCUAUUAAUUAUAAUGAUGCUCACUAAUAUAAA